rnacentral:rRNA from 1 species
UGGGGUUGCGGACAUAUCAUAACGAAGAGGUAUCGUAAUUGAAGAGGUUUGGAAAGACCCACCACAGAAGGUAAUAGUCCUGUAUGUUAAACGAGAAGACUUUAGAUAUGAUCCAGAGUACCACGGGACACGUGAAACCCUGUGGGAAGCAGGAGGGACCACCCUCCAAGGCUAAAUACUACCUAGUGACCGAUAGCGUAUAGUACCGUGAGGGAAAGGUGAAAAGAACCCCGGGAGGGGAGUGAAAUAGAACCUGAAACCCUGCACUUACAAGCUGUGGAAGCACAUUUCUUGUGUGACCGCGUACUUUUUGUAGAACGGGCCAACGAGUUACGUUAAGUAGCAAGGUUAAGCACUUAAGGUGUGGAGCCGUAGCGAAAGCGAGUUUUAACUGAGCGUUCAGUUACUUGACGUAGACCCGAAACCGGGCGACCUACCCAUGAGCAGGAUGAAGCGAAAGUAAAAUUUCGUGGAGGUCCGAACCCACGAGCGUUGAAAAGCUCGGGGAUGACUUGUGGGUAGCGGUGAAAUUCCAAUCGAGCCCGGAGAUAGCUGGUUCUCCCCGAAAUAGCUUUAGGGCUAGCCUCAAGGUGAGAGAUACGGAGGUAGAGCACUGAAUGUCCUAGGGGGUAUUGCACCUACCGAAGACUAUCAAACUCCGAAUGCCGUCAUCUUAUACUUGGGAGUCAGACUGUGGGUGAUAAGAUUCAUAGUCGAAAGGGCAACAGCCCAGAUCGUCAGCUAAGGUCCCUAAAUGUAAGUUAAGUGGUAAAGGAUGUGGGAUUGCACAGACAACCAGGAUGUUGGCUUAGAAGCAGCCACUCAUUCAAAGAGUGCGUAAUAGCUCACUGGUCGAGUGAUCCUGCGCCGAAGAUUUCCGGGGCUAAAACUUACUACCGAAGCUACGGCAUCAGUAAUGAUGGGUAGGGGAGCUUCCCAUACGGGUUGAAGCAUGACCGUAAGGACAUGUGGACAGUAUGGGAGUGAGAAUGUUGGCAUGAGUAGCGAGAUGUGGGUGAGAAUCCCACAGGCCGUAAACCCAAGGUUUCCAGGGGAAGGUUCGUCCGCCCUGGGUUAGUCGGGACCUAAGCUGAGGCCGAAAGGCGUAGGUGAUGGACAACAGGUUGAUAUUCCUGUACUACCGAUAACCGUUUGAGAGAAGGGAUGACACAGUAGGAUAAGCUAAGCACACUGUUGGUUAUGUGUGCCCAAGCAUUGAGGCAGUCAAAGUAGGCAAAUCCGCUUUGAUAAUGCUGGGAUGUGAUGGGGAGCGAAAUUUAGUAGCGAAGUAGCUGAUUUCACACUGUCAAGAAAAGUCUCUAUCGAGGUUAAAGGUACCCGUACCGCAAACCGACACAGGUGGGUGAGGAGAGUAUCCUAAGGCCAGCGAGAGAACUGUUGUUAAGGAACUCGGCAAAAUGACCCCGUAACUUAGGGAUAAGGGGUGCCACCAUCAGGUGGCCGCAGAGAAUAGGCCCAAGCGACUGUUUACCAAAAACAUAGGUUUCUGCUAAGUCGCAAGACGAUGUAUAGGAGCUGACGCCUGCCCGGUGCUGGAAGGUUAAGGGGAUCUGUUAGAGCAAUCGAAGCAGUGAACUUAAGCCCCAGUAAACGGCGGCCGUAACUAUAACGGUCCUAAGGUAGCGAAAUUCCUUGUCGGGUAAGUUCCGACCCGCACGAAAGGCGUAACGAUUUGGGCACUGUCUCAACAACAGACUCGGUGAAAUUGUAAUUCCGGUGAAGAUGCCGGAUACCUGCGACAGGACGGAAAGACCCCAUGGAGCUUUACUGUAGCUUGACAUUGGGUCUUGGUACUACAUGUACAGGAUAGGUGGGAGGCUUUGAAACCAGGACGCCAGUUUUGGCGGAGCCAUCCUUGGGAUACCACCCUUGUAGUACUGGGACUCUAACCAUAGGCCAUGAAUCUGGUCUUGGGACACUGUCAGGUGGGCAGUUUGACUGGGGCGGUCGCCUCCCAAAAGGUAACGGAGGCGCUCAAAGGUUCUCUCAGUACGGUCGGAAAUCGUACGUAGAGUGUAAAGGCAAAAGAGAGCUUGAUUGCAAGACAUACAGGUCGAGCAAGGAUGAAAAUCGGACUUAGUGAUCCGGUGGUUCUGCGUGGAAGGGCCAUCGCUCAACGGAUAAAAGCUACCCUGGGGAUAACAGGCUUAUCUCCCCCAAGAGUCCACAUCGACGGGGAGGUUUGGCACCUCGAUGUCGGCUCAUCACAUCCUGGGGCUGUAGUAGGUCCCAAGGGUUGGGCUGUUCGCCCAUUAAAGUGGUACGCGAGCUGGGUUCAGAACGUCGUGAGACAGUUCGGUCCCUAUCCGUCGCAGGCGUAGGAAAUUUGAGAAGACCUGUCCUUAGUACGAGAGGACCGGGAUGGACGUACCUCUGGUGUACCAGUUGUCCUGCCAAGGGCAUGGCUGGGUAGCUAUGUACGGAAUGGAUAAGCGCUGAAAGCAUCUAAGCGCGAAGCCAACUUCAAGAUAAGAUUUCCCACCGCAAGGGUAAGACCCCAGAAAGACUAUCUGGUUGAUAGGUCGAAGGUGUAAGUGCAGCAAUGUAUUUAGCUUAUCGAUACUAAUAGGUCGAGGACUUGACCAA